UGGAGCGUACCCUCCAGCUCAAACGCCCUUCUGGCCGUCCUCAAGGAAAGGUAGAAGUACGGGUUACUGUACGUGAGCCACAGUACUACCGUGCUCGAGAUGCCUAUUACUCACCUCCGUACGGUGUGCCCCCUCCUUCCCAACCUUAUAAUUACGGCGGAGGUUAUGGUGCUCCUUACAGCGCCCCACCUCCACCACCUCCGCCUUAUGGUCAGGCAAGCUAUGGGCAGCCAGCAUACGAUGUGGGAGGAUACGGGCAGCCGGCAUACGGGGACGGAAGCUACGGGCAGCCAGGUGUAGGGUCUGGUUACGAAGAGGAGAAGAAGAAGAGCAAGUUUGGAAUGGGGACA
rnacentral:lncRNA from 1 species